rnacentral:rRNA from 1 species
GACGAACGCUGGCGGCGUGCUUAACACAUGCAAGUCGAACGGUGACGGCCAGCUUGCUGGUCUGAUCAGUGGCGAACGGGUGAGUAACACGUGAGCAACCUGCCCUUCACUCUGGGAUAAGCCUUGGAAACGAGGUCUAAUACCGGAUAUGAGACGCACCGGCAUCGGUAGCGUCUGGAAAGAUUUAUCGGUGAGGGAUGGGCUCGCGGCCUAUCAGCUUGUUGGUGGGGUGAUGGCCUACCAAGGCGACGACGGGUAGCCGGCCUGAGAGGGCGACCGGCCACACUGGGACUGAGACACGGCCCAGACUCCUACGGGAGGCAGCAGUGGGGAAUAUUGCACAAUGGGCGCAAGCCUGAUGCAGCGACGCCGCGUGAGGGAUGACGGCCUUCGGGUUGUAAACCUCUUUCAGCAGGGAAGAAGCGCAAGUGACGGUACCUGCAGAAGAAGCGCCGGCUAACUACGUGCCAGCAGCCGCGGUAAUACGUAGGGCGCAAGCGUUGUCCGGAAUUAUUGGGCGUAAAGAGCUCGUAGGCGGUUUGUCGCGUCUGCUGUGAAAUCCUCAGGCUCAACCUGGGGCUUGCAGUGGGUACGGGCAGACUAGAGUGCGGUAGGGGUGACUGGAAUUCCUGGUGUAGCGGUGGAAUGCGCAGAUAUCAGGAGGAACACCGAUGGCGAAGGCAGGUCACUGGGCCGCAACUGACGCUGAGGAGCGAAAGCAUGGGGAGCGAACAGGAUUAGAUACCCUGGUAGUCCAUGCCGUAAACGUUGGGCACUAGGUGUGGGGCUCAUUCCACGAGUUCCGUGCCGCAGCAAACGCAUUAAGUGCCCCGCCUGGGGAGUACGGCCGCAAGGCUAAAACUCAAAGAAAUUGACGGGGGCCCGCACAAGCGGCGGAGCAUGCGGAUUAAUUCGAUGCAACGCGAAGAACCUUACCAAGGCUUGACAUGCACCGGUAACACUCAGAGAU